CAGGCGCGUAGCUCCCUAUACGCUAACACGCAGUUGCGUGCACAUCGAUUCGGCAUGCAAAAAAAAAAAAAGUGGCAAAAUAAAAAUUUAUAGAUUGAAUUUUAAAGGCAACAUCUAUGUUGUAACUUUUUUAAUUGAUGAAGUAUCAUUAAAUAACGGCAUUUGGUUUCAAAAUAAAAGAGACAAAAUCGGACAGUAACUUGUAUCUUUUAAAAGAUUUGAAUUUGUAAUACUCAAUCUAAGACAUGUAGUUUUUGGAGCACAUUUUACAGUGUACGGUUUAUCAGUUUGGAAUGAGAUGUACCAAUCGGCAUUAGAAUUAUCAGAACCCUUCGAUACCGUUGAAAAUAUGCCGAGGCGAUGUGGUCGACAGACUACCAGAGCCAAUCACCCUGCAAACACGCCAAAACAGUAUUGGAAAGUCUCAUUAUUUUUUGCGUAUGUUGAAAACAAAUGUACGAUCAACAAUGAACGACGACAGUUACUAGCAUUACUGCAUAUUCAUCGGCAUUUCAGUGUGAAUAUUGACAAAUUAAAGUAAUAGAGAAGUUUGUUUCUGCCUAGACCCGAAGAGCAGAUUUUGGACAAUUUUGAGUAAAUUCUGUAUCACAAAUAUGUGUUGUUAAUGUAUUACUCUAUUCUGAAGAUUUAUUAAUAGUUUUGUUUUACAUUCAUUAAUUUUUUAUAAGUCCUAUCUACAUAUACUGAUAUAGCUCCUCUUUUAACGGU
rnacentral:lncRNA from 1 species